AUAAACAACUUGAUGCAGAUGUUUCCCCCAAGCCCACUAUUUUUCUUCCUUCAAUUGCUGAAACAAAGCUCCAGAAGGCUGGAACAUACCUUUGUCUUCUUGAGAAAUUUUUCCCUGAUGUUAUUAAGAUACAUUGGCAAGAAAAGAAGAGCAACACGAUUCUGGGAUCCCAGGAGGGGAACACCAUGAAGACUAACGACACAUACAUGAAAUUUAGCUGGUUAACGGUGCCAGAAAAGUCACUGGACAAAGAACACAGAUGUAUCGUCAGACAUGAGAAUAAUAAAAACGGAGUUGAUCAAGAAAUUAUCUUUCCUCCAAUAAAGACAGAUGUCAUCACAAUGGAUCCCAAAGACAAUUGUUCAAAAGAUGCAAAUGAUACACUACUGCUGCAGCUCACAAACACCUCUGCAUAUUACAUGUACCUCCUCCUGCUCCUCAAGAGUGUGGUCUAUUUUGCCAUCAUCACCUGCUGUCUGCUUAGAAGAACGGCUUUCUGCUGCAAUGGAGAGAAAUCAUAA